UACGUAGGUGGCAAGCGUUGUCCGGAAUUAUUGGGCGUAAAGCGCGCGCAGGCGGUCCCUUAAGUCUGAUGUGAAAGCCCACGGCUCAACUGUGGAGGGUCAUUGGAAACUGGGGGACUUGAGUACAGAAGAGGAAAGCGGAAUUCCACGUGUAGCGGUGAAAUGCGUAGAGAUGUGGAGGAACACCAGUGGCGAAGGCGGCUUUCUGGUCUGUAACUGACGCUGAGGCGCGAAAGCGUGGGGAGCAAACAGG
rnacentral:rRNA from 1 species